rfam:Hordeum vulgare subsp. vulgare, WGS project CAJW01000000 data, contig: morex_contig_2536854
CCGCUGAGUUUAAGCAGAUAAAUGAGCGUGGGAGAAGAACAUGACAAGGAUUCCCCUAGUGACGGCGAGCGAACCGGGAACAGCCCAGCUUGAGAAUCGGGCGGCUGUGCCGUCCGAAUUGUGAUCUGGAGACGCGUCCUCAGCGACGGACCGGGCCCAAGUCCCCUGGAAAGGGGCGCCUGGGAGGGUGAGAGCCCCGUCCGGCCCGGACCCUGUCGCCCC